rnacentral:rRNA from 1 species
GAUGAACGCUGGCGGUAUGCCUUACACAUGCAAGUCGAACGAGAGUUUUUAACUCAAGUGGCGGACGGGUGAGUAACACGUGAGAAUUUCCUUGUAGGAGGGGGAAAACAACUGGAAACGGUUGCGAAUACGCCUAAUGCCUUAGAGUGAAAUGGGUUUCCGCCUAAAGAAAGGCUUGCGGCGGAUUAGCUUGUUGGUGAGGUAAUGGCUCACCAAGGCGACGAUCAGUAUGUGGUAUGAGGGGAUGAUCAGACACACUGGAACUGAGACACCGCGCAGAAUACUACGGCAGGCAGCAGUGGGGAAUAUUCCGCCAUGGGCGAAAGACUGACGGAGCAAUACCGCGGGGGGGAUGAAGACCUAUGGGUUGUAAUCCUCUUUUUUCAGGGGGGAAUCAAUGACGUGUACCUGAAGAAUAAGCAUCGGCUAACCCCGUGCCAGCCGCCGCGGUAACAC